GCAUAUAACUCAGUUGGUAGAGCCUGAGACUCUUAAUAUCAAGGCUGUGGGUUCAAACUACACAUUGGACA